GGGGUUGUGCCCAUGGCACUGGCUAAGCCCAGGGGGUUAUACUCCUUCCCAUAGCACCCAGGGGAAGCUCCACUGCAUUAGUGUGUGUGGGAUUGUGCCCAACUAUUAACUGCCAAGCCCAGCCACUGCACGUCGAGGCAAGUCUGUUUUCUUGCAGGACAGAGUCAAAGCCAAGGACCAGAUUCCAGCACAUCGACCAGUACCUGACCAGCACCUGGGAGAGGGAGAACCAGAUACACAGGAGACAGAGGCAUCUCACCCAGGUGACCAGACGACAGCAUCAGGACCCAGAGAGCACAACCUCCAGCCAUGGACUCAGAGGAAGCUCUCAGGGACUGCCAGGACUAGGGAGAAUGGAGCAAAGCCAGAGAGGAUAGAUUCAGACUGGACAUGACGAGGAAGUUCUUCACCAUGAGAGUGGGUUCAUUCGCAUCGGACUUAACGCCGCCUGGAUCCACGACUGGACAGAGCCUGCAGCGUCAGAGGCUGACGCAGAGGAAUUCAGCAGGGAUUGUCGCUCCAUUGCUACUUCACCUCUGUUACUGAACACGGCCCUAAGCAUCCUCGUGAAGACUUCCCGACCGAGAUGGAACCUGUACACAAACCUUUACUGAGUUGUUUGCAGUUUGGGGAAAGAGCUUUUUGGGAAAAUAGAAAUACAGUUGUAUUAUAA